CUUUUCAAUGGUAGGUCCAGAAGAAGGACCUCCAGAUGGGACUGCUCCACCCCCUGAGAACUUACCAAGCUUGAUGAUGGGUUGAAGACUUUCUCCAAUUCUUUUUGGUGAUGCUCAAAUUCUUCCUUCUCAGCAGUCUGUUUCUGAUCCAGCCAGUUGGUUGUUUUGGUUAUAUUUGUCAAGGAUAUUCUGUUUGUCUUUACCACCAAUUUUGCUUUGUAGUUUCUCAUCCUCUAUAAGUCACUUCCUCUCUCUGGCUCUCUUGCAGAGACGUGGCUCUCACUCUCACUCGAAGAGACAUUGGUCUCUGUCGGCAGUGUGGGGAGUGCUGGAUGAUGUUUGGCGUCUUGGUGGUUUGCAUUUGCAGCUUGCGGUGAGGCUUCUUCUCUGAGCAACCUAAGUGAGUGAUUUAGGCAGAUUCCUUUUUCCUUCACCUCCUAAAGCACUAUUCUCUUAGGAGGCCCCUCAUCCAGGAGUAGACCUCGUGGCUGGAAGUCGAGCUAAUUUUAAUCUUCUAAGGAGGCCUCAUGACUGAGUUCUCUGAACUACCCUUGGCUUAGGCUAGGCCCUUUUCUUUCUCUCUUCUUCUUAAUUCCUUCCCUCUAUUUUAAUUAAACCACCUUAAAAUUCCAAGACUGACGAGUAUUUUUAUUGGGAUUGAAUUAAUCCCUGGUGACCACUAGUAUAAUAUAUUCAGUCAAUAACCCCUCAAUUUACCCCUUACAGUCAGGGAUGAACAAGUUUGAAAAUGCUGCUGUAGAGAAUGGGAUAGUGGGGUGAUAAGGGAGAUAUAAUAGAAUUAAUUGCAUAAUAGUAAUAAGGGUCUAGCUAAGAUUAUAUAGCAUAUAUUUUUUAAUUAUAUUUUAUUUGAUCAUUUCCAAGCAUUAUUCAUUAAAGACAUAGAUCAUUUUCUUUUCCUCCCCCCCAACCCCCCCACCCCCCAUAGCCGACGCGUAAAUCCACUGGGCAUUACAUGUUUUCUUGAUUUGAACCCAUUGCUAUGUUGAUAAUAUUUGCAUUAGAGUGUUCAUUUAGAGUCUAUCCUCUGUCAUGUCCCCUCAACCUCUGUAUUCAGGCAGUUGCUUUUCCUCGGUGUUUCCACUCCCAUAGUUUAUCCUUUGCUUAUGAAUAGUGUUUUUUUCUCCUGGAUCCCUGCAGAUUGUUCAGGGACAUUACACCGCCACUAAUGGAGAAGUCCAUUACGUUCGGUUAUACCACAGUGUAUUAGUCUCUGUGUACAAUGUUCUCCUGGUUCUGCUCCUCUCGCUCUGCAUCACUUCC
rnacentral:lncRNA from 1 species